rnacentral:rRNA from 1 species
UACGAAGGGGGCUAGCGUUGCUCGGAAUCACUGGGCGUAAAGCGCACGUAGGCGGACUCUUAAGUCGGGGGUGAAAUCCUGGAGCUCAACUCCAGAAUUGCCUUCGAUACUGGGAGUCUUGAGUUCGGGAGAGGUGAGUGGAACUGCGAGUGUAGAGGUGAAAUUCGUAGAUAUUCGCAAGAACACCAGUGGCGAAGGCGGCUCACUGGCCCGAUACUGACGCUGAGGUGCGAAAGCGUGGGGAGCAAACAGG